UUCCCGGAUGUGGCUUUUCGGAAGACGCCGGACGUCGGGGACGUGGCCCGGGCGCCAGCGUCGCGGGCUGCGUGGCGGCCGCUGUGGCGGGUUUCCCCGGCAGUGGGAGGUGGGUGCUGCGUUUCCUCUCGCCCUGGUUUCCAUCUUCCCUCCCUGCCGACAACAGAGAAAACGCCGGGAGCACACGUGAGCUGCCCGGAGAGCCGUUGCAGACGAGCACCGCCUGUCCUCCAGUUUGCUCGUUCCUCAGACGCCCCGAGCCCCGGGCCCGCACGGACGGGCGGGGUCCCCGGCGAACUCAAGCCCACGGAGUCGUGCUCUGUGGUUCUCUCGUGCCUAGCGCUUCCUCUUAGUGUCAUCAGCUGCCCUGGUGGCCGUCGGUCCCUCUUCCUGUGGACGGCCAUUUGGGCUGUUCGCGAUUUGGAGUUGCUGCAGAGGAGCCUGCUGUGAACAUCCAGCGUGUGUCUGCGGUGAGCCCGUGUUUGCAGGCCUGUCAGGACUUGACUACUCUCAACCCAUUAUCUUUCAAGGUUUUAGGUGUUGCUCAGGUAAAUGUGAAAUUUUAAUUGGGCAAAGGCAGUCUUGCUCUCCACAUCUGUCUCUUCUCCAGUUGCUGUGCGUGAAGGAAUUCCACCCAUGGCCUUAUUGCUUCUCCCUGGUAUUUUUCACAGUGGAGGGGGUCUCCCCUCCCUAAAUCCCACCCUCUGUCAGUCCAUGACAUGGCCCACCCUGGCUUCCCUCCUCCCUUCUCAACCAUUUCUUCAUCUGGCUGCCUAGUUUUCCUGUUUUUCCCAUGUCUCUAGGUCUCCAUCUUGGGUGCUCUUCUCUGCUCAGGUAAUAUGCUCCAAGGCCUACAAGGCCGUGUGUGCCUUCUCCCCAUUCCAUGUCCCCUCCCGCAUCAGCACAUGCUGCUCUCCGUGGGGCAGUCUUCUCUCACCACCCCUUGGUUAAUCCCUCCUCCUCUUGAAGCCCUCUGUUCUUUUUGUUUCUUUUCCCUAUUAUGGUUCACACAUUGCUGUUGUCAUGAUUGUUUGAUAAAUGUCCAUCUUGCUUCACACAGCUCCAUGUGAACACAUCGUCUGUAGUGCUCACCGUUUGCUCCUAUGGGACCAACCUGCUCAAAUCUGAGAUGCUCAUCAAAUGUUUGUUGAUUGAAUGAAUGGAACUGGAAGACAUUUUCCAAGACAUCAAUAAUGAUUGCUGGUGACAGAGAGAAAGGAUCACUAUAGAAUUGAAAAACAAAGGUGUACACCAAAGGUACGGCUGCCCAUUGUUCACUGUGCUGGUUCACUUUCAUGUCACUCUUUUGCUUCAACAAGCACUGUGUGCUUGCUGCAGGAUCCUAAGGGCUGGGGGUACAGCAGAAAACAGAACAAGGUAUUUACAUUCCAUUGCGAGAGAUACACAAGUACAGUGUGUUAUUUUUCAGAUAGCCGUCAACGCCUUAGGGAGAGACGGUGCGGGAAAGGGGGAAAGGAGUGUGCGUGUUGGGCAAGGGCAGUUGCAGUUUUAGAUAGAGAGGUCAGAGAAGGCCACACUGAGAAGGAUAUGUGAGUAGUGAUCUGUGGGAGGUGAGGGAAGGUAUUGGGGGACAAAGAUCCCCACAGAGAGAACAGCAAUUGCACCGGCUGGGAGAUGAGAACAUGCCUGGUGGGUUUAGGAAUAGUGGGGAGGCCACUGUGACUGGAACUGGAAGAUGGGAAGAGAUGGGGCCGGUGGGUGAUGGGGCUAUUUAUUAAGACAUUAUUGCCAUGCCAAAAAAAAUUAUGAAUUAAGAUAAUGGUGGUAACCUGUCUUAUGGUUGAAGAUAUUUGCUGCCUCUCCUCAAGGGAGGAUUGUACACCCUUAUCCUUGCCUCAGUGACUUCAGGCCUAGUUGUGCACUCGCUUUAGCAAUCAAAGGUGAGUGAAAGUGUGGUGUCUUCUUGCUGAGCAGAAGCUUUUGGAGCCUCUGUGUGGAUCCACCUAUCCUCUUUCCAUCUGCCAUUAGGUCCACAAUACCCAGGUAGAGGGGGACUGCCUGGGCCCUGGAGUGAAGGAAACAUGGAGUAAAGUGAGCCAAGCUACAGUGGACAUGUGACCCUGGGUGUUAUGAGCCUUUGAGGUUUUCACUAUCACUUGUUACUUCAGCUUAAUUUAGCUUAAGCUAACUGAUAUAAGACACAACCAGAAAAACUGCCCUUUUAGAAAGUAAAAUUACUUUUAUAGCCUCUAUACACCCAUCAGAACUGAAGUGAAAAAUAAAAUCGAUAUGCCAAGUGCUGGUGAGGAUGUGGAGUGACAAGGGGAACUCUCAUUUGUUGUUGGUGGGAACAAAGGGGGGACAGUCACUUUGGAAAGGAGUUUUGCAGGUUCUCAUCAAGUCAAACAGACUGACCAUAUGGCCUAGCAAUUGUACUUUUGGGUAUUUACCCAAGAUAAAUGAAAAGUUACCAUCAGACAAUAUUGGACUUUAUCAGAGACCUGUGCUUCUGGAGAAAUCCCCCACCCUUUUGUGUUCUGAGAAACAGAUAACCACACCAUGGACCAGCCUACUCUCACUGCUGUCACCUAUUCCGAGGUAAGAUCUAGGUAGGGAGGGCCUUCACCAUUCCUCAUGUCUCCUGUAAGAUUCACAGAAGACUGUUACCUGUAUCUGCCUCAGUAACACGCUAGCCCUCCUUCCUUUCCUUUGAGAUGUCCCGAAUUAAUAAAUCCAGAGAAGCAUGUGGAUUAAUAGAAACCUGGGCCAUGCUAGCCAUCCUUACAUAUAUCCCCACCCUCCUAGUCUCUAUAUAGGAUGGGAGAGCCCAUCUGGAACUUCCACAGUUUGUGGGCUCUGGACUUGUUUUAUGAUGCUGAAAGGUGUCUUGCCAUUGGCCAACCAAGGGGAGGGAAUUAGGAAAAGAAGUAAGAGGCAUUUCAUCCUUUUCUGAGAUUCCUCUUCACUAAUGACCGCUCAAUAGGAUUUACUUUUCUAAUCUAGUUCUGGAAUUCACGCCUGUAUGAAUGCAUGAAAGGCACCUUAUUAGCAGGCCAGGUCUAUGCUCAAAGAAGUCAGUAGUGACCAAGAAGGCUUUUUCUUUCUUUCUUUUUUUUUUUUAAAGCUAAGUUUAUUAACUUGCUGGGCAAGGGAACUCAUACUGAAUUUGUCACUGACUGGGGAAGGUUAGAGUUUGAGAACUAGAAAGGGAAGUCUCUUAAUUACCUAUGGCUGCUAUAA